rnacentral:rRNA from 1 species
CGCCCAAUAGCUAGCCCACCCAUCAACCCCAAUCCCACCCUAUCUAUACCCCCAAACACACCACUACCCAACAAACAAACCAUUUUUCCACCUAAGUACGGGCGACGAAUAAGGAUUUAGGAGCAACAGAGAAAGUACCGCAAGGGAAAGCUGAAAGAGAACUGAAACAACCCAAUAAAGCACUAAAAAGCAUAGACCACCCCUCGUACCUUUUGCAUCAUGAUUUAGCCAGAAAACCUUAAGCAAAAAGCAUUAUAGUUUAAUACCCCGAAACUAAGCGAGCUACUCCAAGACAGUCUAAUUUAUAGGACCACCCCCGUCUCUGUGGCAAAAGAGUGGGAAGAGCUUUGAGUAGAGGUGACAGACCUACCGAGCCUAGUUAUAGCUGGUUGCCUGAGAACUGAAUAGAAGUUCAGCCCUUUAAAUUCUUCAUUCCCAUUGGCCCAAGGCCUCCAUACCGAACAAAAGAAGCUAAAGGAGUUAGUCAAAGGGGGUACAGCCCCUUCGAAACAAGAUACAACUUUCCAAGGAGGGUAAAGAUCACAACAAACCUAAAGGUCUAAUGUCCUAGUGGGCCUAAAAGCAGCCACCUACCUAGAAAGCGUUAAAGCUCGAACAUUUCAUACAUACUCAACCUUUUAAUAAGGACAACACAAUCUUACCCCCCUAAACUCUACCAGGCCAUUCCAUAAAAAUUAUGGAAGCGUUUAUGCUAAUAUGAGUAAUAAGAGAAGUCCCCUUCUCUCCCCGCACAAGUGUAACUCGGAACGAACCAUUCACCGACCAUUAACGGCCCCAAAAUAAAGAGGGAACUAGACAAAAAAUAAACAACUAGAAAACCACCUAGCCCCCCACCGUUUACCCCACACUGGUGUGCCAACUGGGAAAGACUAAAAGAAAAAGAAGGAACUCGGCAAACACAAGCCUCGCCUGUUUACCAAAAACAUCGCCUCUUGUACCCCCAGACAUAAGAGGUCCCGCCUGCCCUGUGACUAUAAGUUUAACGGCCGCGGUAUUUUGACCGUGCAAAGGUAGCGCAAUCACUUGUCUUUUAAAUGAAGACCUGUAUGAAUGGCAUAACGAGGGCUUAACUGUCUCCUUUUUCCAGUCAAUGAAAUUGAUCUCCCCGUGCAGAAGCGGGGAUACAAACAUAAGACGAGAAGACCCUAUGGAGCUUCAGACGCCAGAACAGACCAUGUUAAGCACUCCUGAAAUAAAGGAUAAAACUGAUUGGCCCCUGUCCUAAUGUCUUUGGUUGGGGCGACCGCGGGGAAACAAAAAACCCCCAUGUGGACCGGGAGCACACUACUCCUACAACCCAGAGUUACAACUCCAAGCAACAGAAUUUCUGACCAAUUAGAUCCGGCACCUGGCCGAUCAACGGACCGAGUUACCCUAGGGAUAACAGCGCAAUCCUCUUUUAGAGCCCAUAUCGACAAGAGGGCUUACGACCUCGAUGUUGGAUCAGGACAUCCUAAUGGUGCAGCCGCUAUUAAGGGUUCGUUUGUUCAACGAUUAAAGUCCUACGUGAUCUGAGUUCAGACCGGAGUAAUCCAGGUCAGUUUCUAUCUAUGUUACGAUCUUUUCUAGUACGAAAGGACCGAAAAGAAGGGGCCCCUGUUCUCAACACGCCCCACCCUCACCUAUUGAAACCAACUAAAAUAGGUAAAAGGGCGUAUCCCCCAACCCAAGAAAAUGGCUU